CGCGAAUCGCCCUUGGGGUGCAGCAGGCGCGAAAACUUUACAAUGCCGGCAACGGCGAUAAGGGAACCUCGAGUGCCAGGUUACAAAUCUGGCUGUCGUGAUGCCUAAAAAGCAUUGCAUAGCAAGGGCCGGGCAAGACCGGUGCCAGCCGCCGCGGUAACACCGGCGGCUCGAGUGGUAACCGUUAUUAUUGGGUCUAAAGGGUCUGUAGCCGGCCGGGUAAGUCUCUUGGGAAAUCUGGCAGCUUAACUGUCAGGCUUUCAGGAGAUACUGCCUGGCUCGAGGCCGGGAGAGGUGAGAGGUACUUCAGGGGUAGGGGUGAAAUCUUGUAAUCCUUGAAGGACCACCAGUGGCGAAGGCGUCUCACCAGAACGGACCUGACGGCAAGGGACGAAAGCUAGGGGCACGAACCGGAUUAGAUACCCGGGUAGUCCUAGCCGUAAACGAUACUCGCUAGGUGUCGGCCACGGUGCGACCGUGGUCGGUGCCGUAGGGAAGCCGUGAAGCGAGCCACCUGGGAAGUACGGCCGCAAGGCUGAAACUUAAAGGAAUUGGCGGGGGAGCAC
rnacentral:rRNA from 1 species